ACGUAGGUGGCAAGCGUUGUCCGGAAUUAUUGGGCGUAAAGCGCGCGCAGGCGGAUUGGUCAGUCUGUCUUAAAAGUUCGGGGCUUAACCCCGUGAUGGGAUGGAAACUGCCAAUCUAGAGUAUCGGAGAGGAAAGUGGAAUUCCUAGUGUAGCGGUGAAAUGCGUAGAUAUUAGGAAGAACACCAGUGGCGAAGGCGACUUUCUGGACGAAAACUGACGCUGAGGCGCGAAAGCCAGGGGAGCGAACGGGAUUAGAUACCCUAGU
rnacentral:rRNA from 1 species